ensembl:lncRNA
UUUGAACAUGAACCACUCAAACAAACUGAUUCACAAAAAUAAAUCAAAUUGUUUGGCUUUCUUUGUCCUGUAAAACACAAAAAGAAGAAGAAAGUGGGGUUCAAACAACAUUCAGUUUAAUGGACAAAGAAAGUCAUACAGCUUUUAGUUAUUGACACUUAUAAACUACUUACUUUGAAGUUAAGUUAGUAUCUUAUUCAAUAAUUAUGAAUAAUUUAUUUUCAUCAAAUUGCAUCUGACAUAAAAGCAUUAAGGGAAAAAAAUAACCACUUUUGAUUGUGAGUAGUGUCACACACCAGCAGUGCGAUCAUUAUUUUGCUGCACAGGACUCAAAUGAGUCUGUGAAUCAUUUUUUGAACAUGAACCAUCCAAACAAACUGAUUCACUAAAAUGAAUUUAAUUUUCCCCAUAUGAUGUUUUAGGAUUGGUUAUUGCAUCUGCAUUGAAGCUGCAAGCAGAAAGUAAAUUAGAUCAUUAUUUUGCAGCACAGGACUCAGAAAUGAGUCAGAGAAUCUCUCUCUUUUUUUUUUUUUUUUUUUUUUUGAACAUGAAUCAUCCAAACAAACUAAUUGACUAAAAUAAAUUAACCUUUGACUUUCUUUCUCCUGUGCAACACAAACCAACAACAAAAAUCAGUGGGAUACAAUCAACAGUUUCAUAAACAAGGAAAGUCAUACUGAUCUGGAAUGACAUGAUAGAUAGAAAAUGGUCACAGAAAUGUAAUUUUUAAAUAAACUAUCCCUUUGACUCGUUUAAAAUAUGGGAAAAUUAGCAAGUUAUAGAUUCAAGUAGACAUGCACACACAAAUAGAUUGUUUUCAGUCACAACAAACAACAGUUCAAACAAACUGAUUCACUAAAAUGAAUGUAUUUACAUUUAUGCAUUUGGCAUUUGAUGCUUUUAUCCAAAGUGACUUACAUUGCAUUCAAGGUAUCCCUUUCCAUUUCAGUCUUUCCCCUGUGAAACGCAAAAGAAGAAGAAAAGUCAGUGGGAUCCAAACAACAUUCAUUUUAAUGGACAAAGAAAGAUUUCUCUCCUGA